UAGGGAAUCUUCCGCAAUGGGCGAAAGCCUGACGGAGCAACGCCGCGUGAGUGAUGAAGGUCUUCGGAUCGUAAAACUCUGUUAUUAGGGAAGAACAAAUGUGUAAGUAACUAUGCACAUCUUGACGGUACCUAAUCAGAAAGCCACGGCUAACUACGUGCCAGCAGCCGCGGUAAUACGUAGGUGGCAAGCGUUAUCCGGAAUUAUUGGGCGUAAAGCGCGCGUAGGCGGUUUUUUAAGUCUGAUGUGAAAGCCCACGGCUCAACCGUGGAGGGUCAUUGGAAACUGGAAAACUUGAGUGCAGAAGAGGAAAGUGGAAUUCCAUGUGUAGCGGUGAAAUGCGCAGAGAUAUGGAGGAACACCAGUGGCUAAGGCGACUUUCUGGUCUGUAACUGACGCUGAUGUGCGAAAGCGUGGGGAUCAAACAGG
rnacentral:rRNA from 1 species